UACGAAGGGUGCAGGCGUUACUCGGAAUUACUGGGCGUAAAGCGUGCGUAGGUGGUUCGUUAAGUCUGAUGUGAAAGCCCUGGGCUCAACCUGGGAAUGGCAUUGGAAACUGGCGAUCUAGAGUGCGGUAGAGGGUAGUGGAAUUCCCGGUGUAGCAGUGAAAUGCGUAGAGAUCGGGAGGAACAUCUGUGGCGAAGGCGACUGCCUGGACCAGCACUGACACUGAGGCACGAAAGCGUGGGGAGCAAACAGG
rnacentral:rRNA from 1 species